UACGUAGGGUGCGAGCGUUGUCCGGAAUUAUUGGGCGUAAAGAGCUCGUAGGCGGUCUGUCGCGUCGAUCGUGAAAACUUGGGGCUUAACCCUGAGCUUGCGGUCGAUACGGGCAUGACUGGAGUUCGGCAGGGGACGACUGGAAUUCCUGGUGUAGCGGUGAAAUGCGCAGAUAUCAGGAGGAACACCGGUGGCGAAGGCGGGUCUCUGGGACGGUACUGACGCUGAGACGCGAAAGCGUGGGGAGCGAACAGG
rnacentral:rRNA from 1 species